AUGGCCGCUACCACCACCGACGCCGCCGCCGCCGGCCUGGUCCUCCUCCUCCUCAUCUCCCACCUUGCGGUGGCGGUGGAGGUCGCCGGCGACCCUCUCCUCCUCGCGUGCGGCGCGCCAGCCGCCAUCACCCUCCCCGACGGCCGCGUCUUCCUCCCGGACUCCAAUGUCUCCAUCUCCCCUCCCCACGCCUCCCGCACCACCACCACCACGGCGUCCUCGCCGCUCUACUCCGCGACGCGCGUCUUCUCCGCCGAGGCCACCUACUCCCUCCCCGUCCCCCGCUCGCCCCACCGCCACCUCCUCCUCCGCCUCCACUUCCCCCAGCCCGCGCAGUUCGCCGUCGCCGCGGGUGACCUCGAGCUCGUCUCCGUCCCCCGUCCGGCCUCUCGUGCAACCAGGGGUCGCCACCGCUACCGCGAGUACCUGCUGCCGCACCGCGGCGGCGGCCUCCUGCGCCUACUCAUCUCGCCGCGCCCCGGCUCCCUCGCUCUCCUCAGCGCCGUCGAGCUCUUCCCGGCGCCCGACGCCCUGCUCCCGCUCCCGCUCAACCCGCCGGAGCCUUUCCGGCUCGCCGAGACCUUCUACCGCGUCAAUGCCGGCGCGGCGCGCGGGGAGGCCUCGCUCAACGACUCCUUCUGGAGGCUGUGGGAGGGGGACGCCGCGUACCUCCUCAACCCCGCGGCCGCGCGCUCCGUCUCCGUCGACCCGGCCAGCGUUCGCUACCCCGCGGGGGCCGGCCCGCCGUACGCCGCUCCGGCCGCGGUGUACGCGGACGCGCAGGAGAUGGCCGACGCAGGGGUCGGCAACCAGCGGUUCAACCUGUCGUGGGCGUUCCCCGUCGACCCGGGCUUCCGCUACUCCGUCAGGCUGCACCUCUGCGACAUCGUCGGCCGCAACUCCACCGACCUGGUCUUCGACGUCUACAUCAACGGCGACGCCGUGCUCAGCUCCUUCGAUCUCUCCGGCAAGCUCGGGCUGUUCAACGCCUACUUCGUGGAUUUCAUCGCCGCCGUCCCGCCAGGGUCCGAGAAAAUCUUGCUGCAGCUUGGGCCGCCUCGUCUGUCAUACUCGAAGCCGAACGCCAUCCUCAAUGGCGUCGAGAUCAUGAAGCUCGGCGACCAGGAGACGGUGCGCCGUGCCGACACCGUCAAUACUGCUCCGGCGGGAUCAAUGGCCGCGCGCAAGAAGAAGAUUGCAGUUGUCACCGCCGCAACCACCGGCGGAGCAAUGCUCAUCACCAUCUGCAUCGUGGGGGCACUGCUGCUCUUCAGGCAUCGCCGAAGGAGCAAGAAACAACGGCGGUCCCUCAGCCGGCUGCCGUCCUCCUCCAUAGGCCUCCACACGCACACCGGCAUCUCGGCAUCCAAGGUCUCAGCCGCGAGAAGCCACAGCCGCCCGUCCUCAGGGCCGUCCCUCAGCAUCGGCCAGAUAAGGCGGGCGACCAACGACUUCGACGAGGGCCGGGUGGUCGGCGUCGGCGGGUUCGGCAAGGUGUACAGGGGGGUCCUGGAGAACGGCACGGCGGUGGCCGUGAAGCGCGGGAACCCGCGGUCGCAGCAGGGCCUGCAGGAGUUCCGCACGGAGAUCGAGAUGCUGUCCAGGCUCCGGCACCGCCACCUGGUGUCCCUCAUCGGGUACUGCCACGAGGACAACGAGAUGGCGCUGGUCUACGAGUUCAUGGCCGGCGGGCCGCUCCGGCGCCACCUGUACGGCGCUCCCGGCGCGCCCGCCACGCUCCCGCCGCUGUCGUGGAAGCAGAGGCUCGAGGCCUGCGUCGGCGCGGCCAAGGGCCUGCACUACCUUCAUACCGGCGUCUCCGAGGCGAUCAUCCACCGGGACGUGAAGACCACCAACAUCCUCCUCGACGGGAGCCUCUCCGCCAAGGUCUCCGACUUCGGGCUGUCGAUGCCGGCGCCGGCCGUCGACGAGGCGGCGCAUGUGAGCAACAACGCGGUGAAAGGCAGCUUCGGGUACCUGGACCCGGACUACCUCAGGCGGCAGACGCUGACGGACAAGUCGGACGUGUACUCCUUCGGCGUGGUGCUCCUGGAGGUGCUCUGCGCCAGGCCGGCCGUCGACCCGGCGCUGCCCCGCGAGCAGGCGAGCCUCGUGGACUGGGCGAUGGUGGAGGGGCGGACGCUCGGCGGGCUGGAGAGGGUGAUGGACCCCCGGCUCGCGGGCGGCGUCGGCGCCGCCUCGCUGCGCAAGUUGGGCGAGACCGCGGAGAAGUGCCUCGCGGAGUACGGCGCCGAUCGGCCGGCGAUGGGCGACGUGCUGUGGAGCUUGGAGUGCGCGCUCCGGCUGCAGGAGGCGUUCCUGAGCUCCGGCGGCGAGGGGAGCAGCGGCAUUGCGUACGGCGGGCAGGGUUCCUCUGGUGGGUGGCGAUGGUGA
rnacentral:rRNA from 1 species